rnacentral:rRNA from 1 species
CUCGUAGGCGGUCUGAUAAGUCCUGUGUGAAAUCCCUUGGCUUAACCAAGGAACUGCGCCGGAUACUGUCGGACUAGAGGCCGGGAGAGGGAAGCGGAAUUCCGAGUGUAGCGGUGAAAUGCGUAGAUAUUCGGAGGAACACCGGUGGCGAAGGCGGCUUCCUGGACCGGUUCUGACGCUGAUGAGCGAAAGCUAGGGUAGCAAACA